rnacentral:rRNA from 1 species
ACGGGGGGUCCAAGCGUUAUUCGGAAUCAUUGGGUGUAAAGCGCAUGUAGGCGGUUGGGUGUGUCAGAUGUGAAAGCCCGGGGCUUAACCCCGGAAGUGCAUUUGAAACUGCCUGGCUUGAGUCUCGGAGAGGAAAGUGGAAUUCCCAGUGUAGAGGUGGAAUUCGUAGAUAUUGGGAGGAACACCGGUGGCGAAAGCGACUUUCUGGACGAUGACUGACGCUCAGAUGCGAAAGCGUGGGUAGCAAACAG